UGAUGGUGGUGAGGAUAAUCUCUGAGAACCCUUGAACCUCUACCACGCUUGAUACAAAUUUUCUCCAUUUUUCUGCCUAAAUAACAUGAUCUCCCUUCCGAGUCG